UGAAACCGGAAGAAAACCCUAAAAAGAAAACGUCAAUCCUUUUAUUUCUCCAUCUCUUCCGUCUCCGGCCGGUCUCGGUUUGGUCGUCUCUUCGGUCAUGUCUCCCUCAAUCAAUGGCAACCUCUCUACAUCACUCAGGAUUACUUUUUAUUUGGAAUUGAGAAGCAUUGUUGGAAACGAUCAUUGUCAACUAUCUGAUUGCAAUGGACAAAGAUUGGCUAACAUUUUCGAGACCAACAACAGAAUAUAGAGAGGGUGCACAAAAGUUUGUACAAGUAGCUAAAGAAUAUGGAGGAAAUCGAGAUAAGAUCAUUUGCCCAUGUAUAAUAUGUCAAAACCAAUGUUUUCAACAACCUGCGAUUGUGUAUGAACACUUGGUUAUGAAUGGAAUAGAUCCUUCAUAUACUACUUGGGUGUUCCAUGGUGAACAAGAACCUAUUCUUCAACAACAUGACUAUGCCAACAUAACAGAAACAUAUCAAAUGUAUAGGGAUGUCUUGGCUGAAGAUGAUGGAACUGGAAAAGCAAAUUUGCUAAUUGGAGAUGAGAAUUUCAAAGAAAAGGUUGAAGAAGCUGAAGCUCCUUUAUAUGAAGGUUGUACGAAGUAGACAAAGUUGUUAGCAACUGUAGUUUUAUACAAGAUUAAAGCUUCAAAUGGUGCAACAGAUAAGUUUUUUGACGAGCUCCUCCAAGCCCUAAAAGACAUAUUUCCGGAAGGUAAUACACUUCCGAAUUCAAUGAAUUCGACAAAGAAGUUACUUAAGGUGUUUGAUUUAGGGUUCGAGAAAAUAGAUGCAUGUGUAAAUGAUUGCUGCUUAUUUUGGAAAGACUUUGAACAACUUGAGACAUGUCCAAAGUGCGGUUCUUCACAUUGGCAGGUUGGUAAACGUAAUAAUCACAUUUACAAAGGAGUUUCUGCAAAGGUGUUGCGCUACUUUCCUAUUAUACCAAGAUUUAAGCGAAUAAAGAUGAUGACAUGGCCAAAGACUUAAUGUGGCACCAUACCAACAAAAGUCAGGAUGGUAAGAUGCGACAUCUAGUUGUGACCAAUCCAUUUCGAAGCCACAAGGUAAUUCAAAUAUCUAUAAGUAUCAUACCCUAAACAAUUUUUAUUGUAAGUUAAUUACCAAUUACUGUAUAAUUUGCACUCGGUUAGGAACCAUGGAUAGAUUACCGCAAUUUUCUUUAAGUUUUGAAAGGGUUUAUUCACUAAUUCUUCUUUUGGGUUAUUUUGGAUUUGGACUUUGCAUUGGAUGUCUUGGAGAUGUUAAUUUGGAUUGGAUUUGGAUAAUAAUGUUAAUAUGUGUUGCUGGGCACAAUCUAUGCUUCAAUACUCCCCUAAUAUGUGUUGCUGCAGUGCAUCCUCAAUUCUUGAAGACAGCUUCUGUGAGUGUAAUAUGUGCUGCUGCUGUGCAUUGCAGUGCAGCGGCUGUAACCUUAUUAAAAAUGAUGUAUAAGAGAGUCCCAACCCAUGCCCACCCCUAAUCAGAGUCCCAAUAAACUUUUAAUUUUAUGGCUAUAACAGAGUCCCAAUGAUGAUAUAAUUGUAAAAUAAUUAUCAUAAUAAAAGUUAAUAUAUUUUUUAUUGGAAAGAAAACUUAAUUAAAAACCCAAGAAGCAAAGAAACUGCCGUUCAAAGUUCCCACUAGUCGCGUGCAGUUAUAUUUGGUUAUCCCCUCAAUCCUUCUCUUCACGUUGUUUUUUUUUUUUACUAGGAUGCAAAAGAUUAUUCACUGAUCUCUCUCUAUAAAUUUGGUGUCUAUGGAUUUUGAAGGUUUGCCAGACAGUGACGAGAUGCACUCAAGUGAUGAUGUGAAUGAAGCAAAAAAGAGAAAGGGAAGAGGUCCAACAAUGUUGGAUUAUAAUGCUGUGUUAAAGGCCAAACAAAUUGGUGUUCAAUUCAAUGACAAAGGACAACAUUUUGGUGCGGGAUCAGCGAGUUUGAGUUCGUUGGCAGGGAUCCUUGCAAGACAACUAAUACCAGUAACUUACGCAAGUUGGGAUGAGGUUCCUACAAUUUUGAAAGAUAAAUUAUGGGCUGCUAUGAAGCAAAAAUACAAUUUGGCACCUUGUCGUAAGAAGAUAAUAUUAAUACAAAUGUCUGGGUGUUGGCGUACAUACCAAGCCACAUUGACAAAACAAAUAAGAUCCCUUCAUGAUGGUCCUGAUGCAAUGGAACAAAUGCAACUCUUGAAGCCUGAUAAUGUUGAGAAACAAGCUGAUUGGGACAAAUUUGUUAAACAUCGAUGCUCUCCUGAGUUUGCUGCAAUUAGUGAGAAGUUCAAAAAGUUGAAAUCAUUCCAUACUCUCCCUCAUGUGAUGAGUCGUAAAGGAUAUGCACGCUUGGAGGACGAGCUGGAUGACAUUAAGUUGGCUAAUGAAAUGCCAACAACAGACAAUGGUUCUAUAAAAGGUGAUGCCUUAUCACAAGCACUUGGACCUGAACAUCGAGGUCGACCUCGAGGAGGUGGUUAUGGGGUUACACCUUCUAGAUAUGAUGCCCAAACAUAUGCCAGCAUGAGUAAUCGAGAGCUUAGAGACCGACUACAAAACGUCGAAGGAAAAUUGCGGGAAGUGUUUGAUUUUGUGUUGGCUAAACAACAAAAUGAGGGAAAUGGUAAAGAAACUAAUACCAAUGAUGCAAUUCAAGUCUCCACAAAUAGGCCCCAGUCGCAGGGAAGCAGUAUAGAUCUCCAAAGAACUAAGAAUGGUGUAAAACAGGUUCCCAAUUCCAGUUACCAGGUUUCCAGAUCAUCUCCCCAGUUACAAUGUAAUAAGAAAAGUGCACUAGAGGCUAACAAUGGUUCUAGACACUCUUCAAAAGCUAGUUCUCAGGUGAUGAAGAUGAAGGUUAUGUUCGGGCAAAUUGUGAGGUCAUUCCUGUGUAUAACUAGACUAUUAUUGAAUGAAAACAUUUUUCACGAAUUUCUCUACCUUUUUCUGGAUCUCUUCUUAGGAAAACUGAUAUUUUUUGUAAGAUGUACGCAUGUUUGUGACUCUGUAAGAUGUAUGUGUAUGGUUGUUUUUUUUCUUCAAAUCAGAAUUAAAUGAAAAUGAAAAACUUCUCACCAUAAAGUCCCCAGCAUGUAUUGUUCCCAUCUCCACCAACUGAUCAUUCUCUAAUCCCAGUUGUUUCACUAUGUAUUCUUUUGCUCGGCCAAUUUCCUUCUUUGUUAUUAGUUAAUUAGAUUAUUUUUAUUUUGUGAGGCCAUUUCUAUGUACAGAUAUACUAGGACAUAGCAGAUGUUGAUAAUUAGAUUGUUUUUGUUUUGUUAUUAGAUACAAUGUGAUAGAAGUGCACGAGAAGCUGACGAUGCUUCUAGACAAGCUUCCAAUGCUAGUUCCCAGAGAAGUAGUCCAAACAUAGAAAGAGACAGCAUAAAGAGAAAAGAAGGUUCUAAAGCCACUUCUCAGUUACAACCUGUUGGU